GGUUCUAUGGUGUAGUGGUUAGCACACUAGACUUUGAAUCUAGUGACCUGAGUUCAACUCUCGGUAGAUAUU